rnacentral:rRNA from 1 species
GCACGGACUUCGGUCUGGUGGCGAGUGGCGAACGGGUGGGUAAUAUAUCGGAACGUAUCCAUAAUGGGGGAUAACUAAUCGAAAGGUUGGCUAAUACCGCAUACGCCCUACGGGGGAAAGCUAGGGAUCUUCGGACCUGGCGUUAAUGGAGCGGCCGAUAUCUGAUUAGCUAGUUGGUGGGGUAAAGGCCCACCAAGGCGACGAUCAGUAGCUAGUCUGAGAGGACGACCAGCCACACUGGAACUGAGACACGGUCCAGACUCCUACGGGAGGCAGCAGUGGGGAAUUUUGGACAAUGGGCGCAAGCCUGAUCCAGCCAUUCCGCGUGAGUGAAGAAGGCCUUCGGGUUGUAAAGCUCUUUCGCAAGGGAAGAAAACUUAUCCUCUAACAUAGGAUGAGGUUGACGGUACCUUGAUAAGAAGCACCGGC